rnacentral:rRNA from 1 species
AGUGGUAUACUGACCAUGCGAAGGUAGCAUAAUCAUUUGCCCUCUAAUUAGGGGCUGGAAUGAAGGGUUGGACGAGAAACUAGCUGUCUCUUUUAAUUACUUGAAUUUAAUAAUUUGGUGAAAAAGCUAAAAUGUUCUUGGAGGACGAUAAGACCNUAUAGAUCUUUAUAGACCUAGUUGUGAUUUUUUGGUUGUUAUUGAAUUACAGUAAAGUUUAUUUUGUUGGGGCGACAUUGAGUGAAGAUCAAUCUCUCAUAAUGGUUUUACAAUUAUAAUUGGUACAGGAUCCUUUAAUGAAUUAGGAUUAAGUUACCUUAGGGAUAACAGCGUAAUUUCUUUUGAGAGUUCUAAUCGACAAAGAAGUUUGCGACCUCGAUGUUGGUUCAGGAUUCCUUUUAGGCGCAGUAGCUUGAUAAGGUAGUCUGUUC